rnacentral:tRNA from 1 species
AAGAAAUUAGUUAAAUCAAUAACAUUAGAAUGUCAAACUAAAAUUAUUAAAUAUUAAUAUUUCUUU